rnacentral:rRNA from 1 species
AUUGAACGCUAGCGGGAUGCCUUACACAUGCAAGUCGAACGAGUGGCGGACGGGUGAGUAAUAUCUCGGAACGUGCCCAGUAGCGGGGGAUAACUACUCGAAAGAGUGGCUAAUACCGCCUACUAUUGGAGCGGCCGAUAUCGGAGUAGCUAGUUGGUGGGGUAAAGGCUCACCAAGGCAACGAUCCGUAGCUGGUUUGAGAGGACGACCAGCCACACUGGGACUGAGACACGGCCCAGACUCCUACGGGAGGCAGCAGUGGGGAAUAUUGGACAAUGGGGGAAACCCUGAUCCAGCCAUCCCGCGUGUAUGAGAAGGCCUUCGGGUUGUAAAGUACUUUUAGUAGAGAAGCGGUAUCUGCAGAAUAAGCACCGGCUAACUACGUGCCAGCAGCCGCGGUAAUUC